rnacentral:rRNA from 2 species
GAGUUUGUCGGUUGGUCGGGCUUCACUGUCCGCACUGGCCUGAUGGAUUCCUACCUUCUGAAUAACCAGCAUGCUAUUAAUUUAGUGCGUUGGGGAAGCAGAGCUAUUACCUUGAAAAAAUUAGAGUGCUUAAAGCAGGCUUACGCUUGAAUAGAUUAGCAUGGAAUAAUAAAAUAGGACGGCUUGGUUCUAUUUUGUUGGUUUCUAGGAUCACCGUA